GUCCAAACAGCCAUGGGAAGUUUUUCAGAUCUUGCUGUCUCCCAAGAGAAUCUCAACAAAGAAUUGUCUUGAACUCGAGUCAAAAGGAUGCCCUUCAAGCAUUGUUUAAGCAGAACUCCUACUCUGGCAUACCAACCAGAGAACAACUGGCCAAAGAAAUCAGCAGUCUGGAGUCUAGGAUACAGUCCAGGUGUCAGAGUGCUACAUCAAAUCCCAGAAUGAAAGUGUGUCCCAGGCCAGGGGCAGUGGCUCACGUCGGUAAUCCCAGCACUUUUGGAGGCCGAGGCAGGAGUUCGAGAACAGCCUGGCCAGUAUGGUGAAACCUUGUCUUUAUUAAAAAUACAAAAAUUAGCCAGUCGUGGUGGCAUGUGCCUGUAAUCCCAGCUACUCAGGAGGCUGAGACAGGAGAAUUGCUUGAACCCGGUUGGCGGAGGUUGUAGUGAGCCCAGAUAGGGCCAUUGCACUCCAGCCUGGGCAUAAGAGCAAAAAUCCGUCUCAAAAAAAAAAAAAAAGUGUGUCCCAUGGGAAGACAUGGAAAUUGGCUGGUGCACUGGCAACCAGCCCACUGGAGUUGGUGGUGCGGAAGGAAAGCACAAGAAACCAUGUAGAAUGAGGCUGGAUCUGCCAGGGUGUUCACUAAUGUAUUUGUUGCCUCUACAUUUCCAGCCAUGUUUAAGCUUUCUUUCCUGAUCGUAUUUGAAGUGACAUAUUGAGA
rnacentral:lncRNA from 10 species